CAGCCAUUUUUUUUUUUUCACAACAUUUUAAUAUUUUUCAAACACAUUAGCUGUAAACAAUAAAAUCAAAUUAAAAAAAAAAAUACACUAUAAAUAGUAUAAAUGUUAAAUUUAACAUAGUUUAGAAUCAACACUGUAAGAAUUCUCAAAUAUAGACAAUAUAUAUAUGUGUAUUUAACUUGUGUCCGUGGAAACAGUGUCCACUUCACCACUUAUUACACUGUAAAUAUUAUUCAAUUCUGUUCUUGGGACAUUAAACUAGGCUAAUGGUCCUAAAUUCCUAUGACCUACAAUUUUUUUAACUCGUGUAUUUUGCACAUGCCUAACAAUACUUACCUUUUUUUUUUAAAUAGCAACCAUGUUCAUAUAUAAAUUGUAGGGUACAUGGUAUACAUAAACCUGAAUUCUUAUUUUUAGUUUCACGAGUAUACUUACAAGUAAAUUCAUCUAUUAUGAGUAUAUACUAACUAAAAAU